UACGAAGGGGGGCUAGCGUUGCUCGGAAUUACUGGGCGUAAAGGGCGCGUAGGCGGCACUGUUAGUCAGGCGUGAAAGUCCUGGGCUCAACCUGGGAACUGCGCUUGAUACGGCAGAGCUAGAGGAUGGAAGAGGCUCGCGGAAUUCCCAGUGUAGAGGUGAAAUUCGUAGAUAUUGGGAAGAACACCGGUGGCGAAGGCGGCGAGCUGGUCCAUUACUGACGCUGAGGCGCGACAGCGUGGGGAGCGAACAGG
rnacentral:rRNA from 1 species